CAAACGACUCUCGGCAACGGAUAUCUCGGCUCUCGCAUCGAUGAAGAACGUAGCGAAAUGCGAUACCUGGUGUGAAUUGCAGAAUCCCGCGAACCAUCGAGUCUUUGAACGCAAGUUGCGCCCGAGGCCUUCGGGUCGAGGGCACGCCUGCCUGGGCGUCAUGC
rnacentral:rRNA from 1 species